AGCAGCCGCGGUAAUUCCAGCUCCAAUAGCGUAUAUUAAAGUUGUUGCAGUUAAAAAGCUCGUAGUCGAAUUUCGGGACUAACAGAUUGGUCGCGCCUUUGGUGUGUACUGGUCUAGUUGGUUUCUCCCUUCUGACGAACCACGAUGUCAUUAGUUUGGUGUCGUGGGAAAUCAGGACUGUUACUUUGAAAAAAUUAGAGUGUUUAAAGCAAGCUAACGCUUGAAUACAUUAGCAUGGAAUAAUGAAAUAGGACGUUCGAUCCUAUUUUGUUGGUUUCUAGGAUUGACGUAAUGAUUAAUAGGGAUAGUUGGGGGCAUUAGUAUUCAAUUGUCAGAGGUGUAAAUUCUUGGAUUUAUUGAAGACUAACUAC
rnacentral:rRNA from 1 species